rnacentral:rRNA from 1 species
CGGGGAACGACAACGGCGUCGAGCGGCGGACGGGUGAGUAAUGCCUGGGAAAUUGCCCUGAUGUGGGGGAUAACCAUUGGAAACGAUGGCUAAUACCGCAUAAUAGCUUCGGCUCAAAGAGGGGGACCUUCGGGCCUCUCGCGUCAGGAUAUGCCCAGGUGGGAUUAGCUAGUUGGUGAGGUAAAGGCUCACCAAGGCGACGAUCCCUAGCUGGUCUGAGAGGAUGAUCAGCCACACUGGAACUGAGACACGGUCCAGACUCCUACGGGAGGCAGCAGUGGGGAAUAUUGCACAAUGGGCGCAAGCCUGAUGCAGCCAUGCCGCGUGUGUGAAGAAGGCCUUCGGGUUGUAAAGCACUUUCAGCAGUGAGGAAGGGUGUGUAUUUAAUAGAUGCACAUUUUGACGUUAGCUGCAGAAGAAGCACCGGCUAACUCCGUGCCAGCAGCCGCGGUAAUACGGAGGGUGCGAGCGUUAAUCGGAAUUACUGGGCGUAAAGCGCAUGCAGGUGGUUUGUUAAGUCAGAUGUGAAAGCCCGGGGCUCAACCUCGGAACUGCAUUUGAAACUGGCAGGCUAGAGUACUGUAGAGGGGGGUAGAAUUUCAGGUGUAGCGGUGAAAUGCGUAGAGAUCUGAAGGAAUACCGGUGGCGA